AUACGAAGGGGGCUAGCGUUGUCCGGAAUUACUGGGCGUAAAGCGCAUGUAGGCGGACAUUUAAGUCAGGGGUGAAAUCCCGGGGCUCAACCUCGGAACUGCCUUUGAUACUGGGUGUCUAGAGUGUGGAAGAGGUAAGUGGAAUUCCGAGUGUAGAGGUGAAAUUCGUAGAUAUUCGGAGGGACACCAGUGGCGAAGGCGGCUUACUGGUCCAUUACUGACGCUGAGGUGACGAAAGCGUGGGGAGC
rnacentral:rRNA from 1 species